rnacentral:rRNA from 1 species
CACGUAGGGCGCAAGCGUUGUCCGGAAUUAUUGGGCGUAAAGAGCUCGUAGGUGGUUUGUUACGUCCGCUGUGAAAUCCUAGGGCUUAACCCUGGGCUUGCAGUGGAUACGGGCAGACUAGAGGUAGGUAGGGGAGAAUGGAAUUCCUGGUGAAGCGGUGAAAUGCGCAGAUAUCAGGAGGAACACCGGUGGCGAAGGCGGUUCUCUGGGCCUUACCUGACACUGAGGAGCGAAAGCGUGGGGAGCGAACAGG